CCUACGGGCGGCUGCAGUGAGGAAUAUUGGUCAAUGGGCGCGAGUCUGAACCAGCCAAGUAGCGUGAAGGAUGACUGCCCUACGGGUUGUAAACUUCUUUUAUAUAGGAAUAAAAUGAUCCACGUGUGGCUUUUUGUAUGUACCUUAUGAAUAAGGAUCGGCUAACUCCGUGCAAGCAGCCGCGGUAAUACGGAGGAUCCGAGCGUUAUCCGGAUUUAUUGGGUUUAAAGGGAGCGUAGAUGGGUUGUUAAGUCAGUUGUGAAAGUUUGCGGUUCAACCGGAAAAUUGCAAUUGAUACUGGCAGUCUUGAGUACAGUUGAGGUAGGCGGAAUUCGUGGUGUAGCGGUGAAAUGCUUAGAGAUCACGAAGAACUCCGAUUGCGAAGGCAGCUUACUAAACUGCCACUGACAUUGAGGCUCGAAAGUGUGGGUAUCAAACAGGAUUAGAUACCCGGGUAGUC
rnacentral:rRNA from 1 species